rnacentral:rRNA from 1 species
UACAGAGGUCUCAAGCGUUGUUCGGAUUCAUUGGGCGUAAAGGGUGCGUAGGCGGCGCGGUAAGUCGGGGUGUGAAAUCUCGGGGCUUAACUCCGAAACUGCAUUCGAUACUGCCGUGCUUGAGGACUGGAGAGGAGACUGGAAUUUACGGUGUAGCAGUGAAAUGCGUAGAUAUCGUAAGGAAGACCAGUGGCGAAGGCGGGUCUCUGGACAGUUCCUGACGCUGAGAACACGAAGGCCAGGGGAGC